CACGCCAAUUUUAGCCAAUCCAAUGCUUUCCCUUUGGAAAAAAUAGUGAAAGCAUUGGAUUGGCUAAAAAUUGGC